rnacentral:rRNA from 1 species
GUACACGCUGUGACUAGCAUAUCAAUAAGCGGAGGAAAAGAAACUAACAAGGAUUCCCCUAGUAACGGCGAGUGAAGCGGGAAGAGCUCAAAUUUGAAAUCUUAAAGGGUUUCCCUUUACGAAUUGUAGUUUAAAGAAGUGUUUUCUGUUGAGGUUUUGGUAAAAGUUCUUUGGAAUAGGACAUCAUAGAGGGUGAGAAUCCCGUAUUUGACCUUUACUUUCAACUUUGUGAUACACUUUCAAAGAGUCGGAUUGUUUGGGAAUGCAGUACCAAAAUGGGUGGUAAAUUUCAUCUAAAGCUAAAUAUUGGCGAGAGACCGAUAGCGAACAAGUACCGUGAGGGAAAGAUGAAAAGAACUUUGAAAAGAGAGUUAAACAGUACGUGAAAUUGUCAAAAGGGAAGCGUUUGACACCAGUGUUGUUUUUCUGAAAAUCAAUUAAAGAACUGUUUAUGCUAAGUUGUUUAGACUUUAUCAGCUAACUGCUUAGUUUUGAGCUUUUCUUUAAUGCACUUUUCAGUUAACAAGUCAACAUCAAUUUCUUUUGCUGUAAAAAAGCUUGAGGAAGGUGGCUUGAGAUUCGUCUUAAGUGUUUAUAGCCUCUUGCCUAUGCAGUCGGAGAGAUUGAGGUCUGCAGCGUAGAUCCUUCGGGGCUAAAUGCAUUUGUGCUAAGUUAUAGCAUUUUAUAGACAACUUGUUGACUAUGAUUUGUCUUGUAGCUUACUCGCUUAUGUUAUUUUACCUACGCUUAGGAUGUUGAAGAUGUAGCACAUCAU